UUUUUUUUAAUUUUUGCCGCUAGUAUUAAAAAAGUGAAAUGAGUGCGUGUGUGCAAAAUUCAAACAAUACACCUGUUUCAGUAGUCUCUAAUGAGAAUUCGGCGUCAUGAAAUCAACCUAUUAAGCCAAUGAACGUGAAAUACAGAUGCAAGUUAGCAGGCAUCGACUAGGCGUUGCGAAUUAAAUACUUGUCCACUCGUGUAACAAUAUCCCAUUUAGGGUGCACUCUCACAAACUGACACCCACAAUGUGAGCUUCUACUUAAUAUAUGUAUGUACAUAUAUCUAGUGUACUAUUAAUCGUACGUGACAAGAUUGUAAUUGAGCUGGAGAAAAAUUGCUAAUUUUGCAAAACCAGAGAUGCAAGUAAUUGCCUGUGACAAUAACAAUACGUGCAUAUACAUAUGUACAUACACAAGUGUGUGAAUGCAUUGACAUGCUUAAGGCUGCAAGGGAAGUAAAUUUGCAAACCAGUUCAUGCAUUAUGUAUGAGAAGAAUUUAAAACCAAAGGGAAUAAAUUAAUAAAUUCAUAAAAAGUUGUUAUCAAUCUUAGGUUUUUACGGCAUACUAUAGUACCUGUAGGUCUCUUCCCGAGGUAUUUUUAUACUUUAUAAGUACGUAUGCAUAUUUUACAUGAGCUCGAAAGUUUACAUUUGGAAUCUUACCAUUACUAAAAUUCUUUUUGCUUAAAGAAAUAUGCACAUGUACAUAGAUAUCGCACCCUAAAUACGAAAGGGUCACAACUCAAAAAUUUCCAAAACUGAGUUUUUUG